GCUGGGUGUGAUGGCACAUGCCUGUAAUCCCAGCCUCUCAGGAGGCUAAGGCAGGAGGAUCUUGAGUUCAAACCCUGCCUCAGCAACAGAGAGGUGCUAAGGAACUCAGUGAGACCCUGUCUCUA
rnacentral:sRNA from 1 species